rnacentral:snRNA from 1 species
AGAUGAGACCUGCUGCCACCCCAUUGAUCACCAGGGUUGAUUUGGCUGAACUACGGGCUUUGUGGGUGUCCCCUUCGUCCUUCAUUGCUCCAUGUGCAUCCCUCCCUAACCUGCAUGCUCAGUCUAAGAGGAAGGCCUUCUCCGCAUAGAGACCGACAGCCUAUACCUUGGUAGAGGGCAUAGAGUAGCUACAUUCCCCUGCUAGCACUACAAACCAGCUCUCAAGGUCCACUGGUGACACUUUGAGCUGUAACCUCAAUGUGGAUGAUUUUGUGGCCUACCAUUUUUCCAC